rnacentral:rRNA from 1 species
GGGUUGUGAGGUUAAGCGACUAAGCGUACACGGUGGAUGCCCUGGCAGUCAGAGGCGAUGAAGGACGUGCUAAUCUGCGAUAAGCGUCGGUAAGGUGAUAUGAACCGUUAUAACCGGCGAUUUCCGAAUGGGGAAACCCAGUGUGUUUCGACACACUAUCAUUAACUGAAUCCAUAGGUUAAUGAGGCGAACCGGGGGAACUGAAACAUCUAAGUACCCCGAGGAAAAGAAAUCAACCGAGAUUCCCCCAGUAGCGGCGAGCGAACGGGGAGGAGCCCAGAGCCUGAAUCAGUGUGUGUGUUAGUGGAAGCGUCUGGAAAGGCGCGCGAUACAGGGUGACAGCCCCGUACACAAAAAUGCACAUGCUGUGAGCUCGAUGAGUAGGGCGGGACACGUGGUAUCCUGUCUGAAUAUGGGGGGACCAUCCUCCAAGGCUAAAUACUCCUGACUGACCGAUAGUGAACCAGUACCGUGAGGGAAAGGCGAAAAGAACCCCGGCGAGGGGAGUGAAAAAGAACCUGAAACCGUGUACGUACAAGCAGUGGGAGCACGCUUAGGCGUGUGACUGCGUACCUUUUGUAUAAUGGGUCAGCGACUUAUAUUCUGUAGCAAGGUUAACCGAAUAGGGGAGCCGAAGGGAAACCGAGUCUUAACUGGGCGU